AACGUAGGUGGCAAGCGUUAUCCGGAUUUACUGGGCGUAAAGGGCGCGUAGGCGGCCAACUAAGUCAGACGUGAAAUCCCUCGGCUUAACCGGGGAACUGCGUCUGAUACUGGAUGGCUAGAGGUUGGGAGAGGGAUGCGGAAUUCCAGGUGUAGCGGUGAAAUGCGUAGAUAUCUGGAGGAACACCGGUGGCGAAGGCGGCAUCCUGGACCAAUAUUGACGCUGAGGAGCGAAAGCCAGGGGAGCAAACGGG
rnacentral:rRNA from 1 species